rnacentral:rRNA from 1 species
GCUUAGAAGCAGCCAUCAUUUAAAGAAAGCGUAAUAGCUCACUGGUCGAGUCGGCCUGCGCGGAAGAUGUAACGGGGCUAAACCAUGCACCGAAGCUGCGGCAGCGACACUGUGUGUUGUUGGGUAGGGGAGCGUUCUGUAAGCCUGCGAAGGUGUGCUGUGAGGCAUGCUGGAGGUAUCAGAAGUGCGAAUGCUGACAUAAGUAACGAUAAAGCGGGUGAAAAGCCCGCUCGCCGGAAGACCAAGGGUUCCUGUCCAA